rnacentral:rRNA from 1 species
UAUCAAGCUACUAAGGGCUUACGGUGGAUGCCUUGGUGCCAGGAGACGACGAAGGGCGUGACAGGCUGCGAUAAGCUUCGGGGAGCCGCUUAAUAGGCUUUGAUCCGGAGAUUCCCGAAUCGGGCAACCGAGCAGGUUAAUCCCUGCUACUCGUGUUUACACGAGGGACAACCAGGAGAAGUGAAACAUCUCAGUACCCUGAGGAAAAGAAAGAAAACCUCGAUUCCCCCAGUAGCGGCGAGCGAAAAGGGAACAGCCCAAACCCGAUAUAUGUUCAAGCCUGAACGCGUUGUAUAUCGGGGGUUGCGGGGUUCGUCGGGUGUGGGUUCAGACACACCGGAAGUAAACGUACCGCUAGCUUAAUGCCUCUGGAAAGAGCAACCGGAGCGGGUAAAAGUCCCGUGAGCGAAAGCGGUGGCGCACUUCUUGACGAGCACCCCAAGUACUACGGGAUAGGCAAACCUGUAGGAAUCUAGGAGGACCACCUCCUAAGGCUAAAUACUCCCUGGCGACCGAUAGUGAACGAAGUACUGUGAAGGAAGUGGUGAAAAGUUCCCCCAUUAGGGAAGUGAAAAGCCCCUGAAACCGUAUAGCCUACAAGCUGUGGUAGUGCUAAGUCACGCAAGUGACAUGCAUGACCGCGUGCCUUUUGCAUAAUGAGCCGGCGACUUACUCUGUGUAGCAAGAUUAAGCAUUUUUGAUGCGGAGUCGUAGCGAAAGCGAGUCUGAAUAGGGCGUUGAGUUGCAUGGAGUAGACCCGAAACCAGGUGAUCUAUCCAUAGGCAAGGUGAAGCAUAUGUAAAAAUAUGUGGAGGCCUGAACCCACCAAGGCUGAAAACUUGGGGGAUGACCCGUGGAUCGGAGUGAAAGGCUAAUCAAACCUGGUGAUAGCUGGUUCUCCCCGAAAUAGCUUUAGGGCUAGCCUUAUGCGUUCGGCAGUGGCGGUAGAGCUCUAAUUGGACUCGCGGCCCUACCAGGUUAGCAACUCCAGUUAAACUGCAAAUGCCAUUGUCUUAAGCAUGGGAGUCAGUCAGUAGGGGAUAAGCUCUAUUGACGAAAGGGAAACAGCCCAGAUCACCAGCUAAGGUCCCUAAAUACACGCUAAGUGGUAAAGGAUGUUUUGUUGCUGAGACAGCCAGGAUGUUGGCGUAGAAGUGGCAACCAUUUAAAGAGUGUGUAAUAACUCACUGGUUGAGCGAUUUUGCACCGAAAAUUUCCGGGGCUAAGUGUAUUACCGAAGCUGUGGAUAUCUAUCUCAUUAGGUAUGUAGGUUAAGUGCCUACUUUGACCGCAUCACUCAAUAUUUGAGAAGCUGCGGAUGCCUAUUCUAAAUAGAUAUGGUAGGGGAGCGUUCUAUAGUAGGACUGAAGGAGAAUCGUAAGGCGCUCUGGACGAAUUAGAAGUGAUUAUGCCGGCAUGAGUAGCGAUAAAACAAGUUAGAAGCUUGUUCGCCGAAAGCCUAAGGGUUCCUGGGCAAGGUAAUUCCGCCCAGGGUUAGUCGGAUCCUAAGCCGAGGCCGAAAGGCGUAGGCGAUGGGAAGCAGGCGUAAUAUUCCUGCACCACCAUGACUAGUAUGAAACUAGGGGAGACGCAAGCAUUAGGAACUACCAGCUGAUGGAAAUGCUGGGUUAAGCCCGACGGAGUGCACCAGGCAAAUCCGGUGCAAUAUACUCUGAGAGGUGAACAGGAUUCCUUUUGGAUGCAAACUGUUCUGGUUGCUUGCCAAGAAAAGAACCUCGAGUGGACGACUCAUGGUGACCGUACCGUAAACCGACACAGGUAGGCGAGGAGAGAAUCCUCAGGCGCUCGAGAGAACUCUCGCUAAGGAACUCGGCAAAAUGACCCCGUAACUUCGGGAGAAGGGGUGCUUUGAGUAAGUGCCGCGUUUCGACGCGAUACUGAAAAAAGCCGCAGUGAAAUGGCCCGUGCGACUGUUUACUAAAAACACAGGUCUCUGCUAAAUCGUAAGAUGAUGUAUAGGGACUGACGCCUGCCCGGUGCCAAAAAGUUAAGGUGAGGAGUCAAGGGUAACCGGACGCUCCGAACUGAAGCUCUGGUAAACGGCGGCCGUAACUAUAACGGUCCUAAGGUAGCGAAAUUCCUCGUCGGGUAAAUUCCGACCUGCACGAAUGGCGUAACGAUAUGGGCACUGUCUCGGC